AUUUGAUAACCUCCAAGGUAAACCUACCCCUUUAAGACAGUAGUCUCCAUUUGAUAACCUCCAAGGAUGACCUUGUCUCCAUUUGAUAACCUCCAAGGAUGACCUUGUCUCCAUUUGAUAACCUCCAAGGUAAACCUACCCCUUUAAGACAGUAGUCUCCAUUUGAUAACCUCCAAGGAUGACCUUGUCUCCAUUUGAUAACCUCCAAGGAUGACCUUGUCUCCAUUUGAUAACCUCCAAGG